CGCUGGAGGCCGCAUAUGCGUUUGCGGUAGUUGCAGACACGCGGCGGAUAGCUCGCAACCCGCCCCGCCUACAUUAUUAGCUCCGUCCCAAUCUGCUCCGCUCGAGCCCGCCCGGUCACCUGCAACUCCAAAAAGCUGGAGGAAACUGUCAAGCGCGAGUCUCGCGAGCUUGUAGCUCAGUCACAUAUGAUUUUUGCUGAGGUUGAGGAGAGAGAAAGAGGAGAGAGAGAAAAGCUGUUGUCUCCUCAAACAACUGGCUCGUCAAUGAUUUUUUCGCUCUAUGAGACGACUUGGCACGGUUGAACACCUAUCGUUGUUUCGGCAGGCAAUUUUUUCCACUCCGUGGAUCCGCUGCACCAACUCGUCUUCCCUCUCCUUCCCGCAUGAAAUCGAUUCUAGCGCGAAGCUAAACUAAUUUUUCCGUGGUUCCAUGAUUCCUCCUCCUGUGUUCCCUCCAGAUGUACAUGAAUCAGGAACAUAUCAGGGUCAUCCAUCUCAAUUCACAGCAUCCCUCCCCCACCACCCAGCUCAAGGCGGCAGAGCACAUGGCUCCCCUGGCCACUGCCCCAAACGGCGCCCGUCCUGGUCGCCCCUGCCCACCACGCCCCUCCCCGCCGCCCCAGCCUGCGAGCAUGGCUCCUCAAUCAAAGAUAACAGCAGCGCAGCAGGCGUCUCCUCCGCCGCCGAUGCCGGAAUUACAGGCUGCUCUAGGUUCAAUUGCUGCUACCCCGACAUGGUUGUCAGUGCCUCCCUGCUUUUAUGCCUAGCUGUUCUCCUCCUAUGGUCCAUAGAUCAAAUCUGAACUCAACUGACGAUGCAAUCCUAAUUGGCUUCAACGUUUGGUCCAGA